rnacentral:rRNA from 1 species
AACUUGGGACACUGUGUGCAAGCGUAAUCUAGCAAUGCCGCGUGCAGGCUGAAUGACUUCGGUUUGUAAACUACUUUUGUACGGAACGAAAAGUAUCGGCUCAAUACCCUGGGACCUUGAUGGAACCGUAAGUUUAAGAACCGCCUAACUACGUUCCACCACCCGCGGUAAUACGUAGGGUGCAAGCGUUAAUCGGAAUUACUGGGCGUAAAGCGUGCGCAGGCGGUUUUGUAAGACAGUGGUGAAAUCCCCGGGCUCAACCUGGGAACUGCCAUUGUGACUGCAAGGCUGGAGUGCGGCAGAGGGGGAUGGAAUUCCGCGUGUAGCAGUGAAAUGCGUAGAUAUGCGGAGGAACACCGAUGGCGAAGGCAAUCCCCUGGGCCUGCACUGACGCUCAUGCACGAAAGCGUGGGGAGCAAACAGG